UACCUGCAGUCGAGCGGUACAGGUGUAGCAAUACAUGCUGACGAGCGGCGAACGGGUGAGUAAUGCUUCGGAAUCUACCCAGUAGUGGGGAAUAACUAACCGAAAGGUUAGCUAAUACCGCAUACGUCCUACGGGAGAAAGCGGGGGUCGCAAGACCUCGCGCUAUCGGAUGAGCCGAAGUCGGAUUAGCUAGUUGGUGAGGUAACGGCUCACCAAGGCGACGAUCCGUAGCUGGUCUGAGAGGACGACCAGCCACACUGGAACUGAGACACGGUCCAGACUCCUACGGGAGGCAGCAGUGGGGAAUAUUGGACAAUGGGGGAAACCCUGAUCCAGCGACGCCGCGUGUGUGAAGAAGGCCUGCGGGUUGUAAAGCACUUUUAGUGGGGAUGAAAAGUUCAGGGCUAAUACCUCUGGGCAUUGACCUAACCCACAGAAAAAGCACCGGCUAACUCUGUGCCAGCAGCCGCGGUAAUACAGAGGGUGCAAGCGUUAAUCGGAAUUACUGGGCGUAAAGCGUGCGUAGGCGGUUUCGUAAGUCGGGUGUGAAAGCCCCGGGCUCAACCUGGGAAUUGCAUUCGAGACUGCGAAGCUAGGGUGCGGAAGAGGGAAGCGGAAUUUCCGGUGUAGCGGUGAAAUGCGUAGAUAUCGGAAGGAACAUCAGUGGCGAAAGCGGCUUCCUGGUCCAGCGCCGACGCUCAGGCACGAAAGCGUGGGGAGCAAACAGGAUUAGAUACCCUGGUAGUCCACGCCAUAAACGAUGAGAACUAGACGUUGAGAGGGUAAGCCUCCCAGUGUCGCAGCUAACGCGAUAAGUUCUCCGCCUGGGGAGUACGGCCGCAAGGUUGAAA
rnacentral:rRNA from 1 species